rnacentral:misc_RNA from 1 species
CAGAGUUCUAAAAGACUCCCAAAACCAUUGUGAACAUACCCGUCAGCGUUGCUUCGGCGGGCGUCCCCUCCCUGGGGACGCUGCCCUUCGGGGUGCCCGCCGGGGGUUACGAAACUCUUUUGUAUUUUAGUGGCCUCUCUGAGAAAAACAAGCAAAUAAGUUA